UCGGUGCUCUUCCUGUAUUGGACACUGCCCCACAACUCAUUACUAUUCAACGAACAUGUUAGCAGGUUUAGCCUCUUCAGCAUCUGGUACCCGCUUUCUUUGAAUAGCUACGUUGAAACCGCUAGCCUCUAUAUUUUUGUUAUCCGAGGUCCAUUUUAAUCCCGUUGCUCGUUCAGCUUUGUAUCCAGAGGCAGUGUGGGAAAAAGACACCUUUAGGUUCAGACAACGUGACUGCGUGCCAUGAACGACGAGAACCGCUAACGGUGGAUGCCUGAAAGCAGCAGCAGCGAGCGAGGCUGAAAAGGACCGGUGGUUUGAACCAACGCAGAUUUGAACAAGAAUCAAGACUUCAGGCCAGAGAUGUCGCACAACCUAGUACAACAUUACAAGAUGACUUACAAAACUCCAUUACUUUGCUCGGAGGAUUGCUUUGUGCCUUAGGAGUCCAGGUUGCAGAGGAACGAACACACAUCAAAGGUUAUUACAGCAGAACGACUGCAGUGUUUCUCAACAGCAUCUGCACAUCACUAUAUCCACCACUUUCGCCUUUCCUUGGUGCAGCUUCAUCCCUGGAUAAACCAUCGUGAUAGAAAACUUUCUGCCCGAGGGACAUCGGACAAUCUGCUUGUGUUUCCUUGAUUACUUCUCCUAAAGUUUUGUUUGACCUUUAGCUUUGAGUUUGAUUGUUUUUUCAUCUUUAUGGGUACAGAGAAGAGGGGUGAAAGGACUUUGGGAUUAGUUGCUGGAUGAUUUUUGUGAUUUCUAGAUACUACCACAGCCAGGCUUGGCAGAACCCCUCAUAGAAGUGACCUCUAGAAGGUGAUGACAUUGAAUGCUAAGGAGUAGCAGAUUUUUUUUUCAUUUCUUUAAGAUUCUUAAACAUUUCAUCCAAAGUUUUUAAAACUUUGUCUGAGGGAAGUGAGAAGAAGAACAUCACAAAGAAGCUCUAAAAAAACCAGACAGACAACAGACAAAGAACUGAAAAGGGAGGGUUAAAAGAGAAGACGAGGGACCUUGAUUCGUAGAUAAACUAGGUGAGGUAAACCUCGAGAGAAAAGCAAGAAUCUAAGGAAAAGAAAAGAGAAUACAGAGAAAACGGCAGAUAACAGAGGCACUGAGCAGCGAAGGAGAAAACAGGGGAAGAUAGGUAUCUUUUUGGUCUAGCAUGGCUAGAGACAUGAUGGAACACCCUUCAGGCCAGACCUCCUCCCUUCUCCCGCUCCUCCUCCCAUCUCCCCUCCCUCUCUACGCUGCUCUCAACUAGGCUGCCAGUUUUUUUCUUUGGCUACGUCGCUUCAGUGCAACGAGUGAGACGGAAAAAGAGAGAAAGCACCGGAGCCGAGCUCAACAUUCACACAGAUGGCAGAGCAAACGAGAGGGACCUGCUGCAUCCUUCCACACUGUGCACUAGAUUUCACUAAAGAUGGACUUUGCAGUUAAUCUCAAGAUUAAGGAGGGAAAAGAGAGAGGUGGAUGUAAAGAAAGCUGAAACAACGGAAGUUAGAAAGUAUAUAGAGGGGGAAUUAACAAAGCAUAGAAGCUGAAGGAGAGAUCGCCUCUCAUUGAAAGCAAGGGAAGCAGUCGGGCUACAGCUGUGUGUGUUUGUCGAGGCAUUUUUGUGCGGGAGGCAAGCUGUAAAGAGAGAGGGAGAGAGUCCAGCAGGAUACGGCGAGGAAGCGCAGGAGCGUUGCUGAGUGCACAGUUUGACUGUGAGACAAAUCGACUCUGACACAUCGCCCUCAGUCAGAGUGUGUGUGAUCUCGUAGUCUCAAGUGUAAGUCAGGGGUCGUGCCACUCGCGCCGACCAAGCGUUGGUGGUCGUCGCGUGGAGGCGGCAGUGCAGGAGGUGGUGGUGGACUGGAGACAG